GGGCUCGUGGUCUAGCCUGGAUCAGGACGCAGGCCUGCGGCAAGCUGAGUAGAAAGCCUGAUAUCUCGGGUUCGAAUCCCGACGAGCCCACCA
rnacentral:tRNA from 1 species